AAACCUAAUUAGGCAUUAAAAAAGGUUAACGCCAGCGCCUGAAACGUUUUUGUUUAAUAAUCCCAUUACUGCCGGCUCAUCAUGUAUAAAAUGGUGCAGGAGGACACUAAGUUUCCACUUGUUAAAGGGAAUCUCUGAGAAAUAGUCGCAGGUUUUUGACACUAUCUCCGAUUGGGAAAAUUAGGGGUUGUAAUUAAACAGCGGAGACUCAGCUCAGCACAGCGCACAGACUUCCUGGAAGGCUGUGAUUGGCCGGCUGUCUGGGUAGUGAUAGCAGCCCUGGAGCCGAGGAUGAUUGAUGACGGCGGGGGCAAGGCCGACACUGGCAGCAUAAAGCUCCAUAGACGCCUCAAUAAAGAGCCUGGCCAGUGGAGAGCCUGGGCCCCUCCGCCUCCGAGGACCCACGGCUAGAGGAGUGCAUGGAGAGAGGCAGAGGAAGAGAGGGAGAAGGAGAGGUGCUCUGUUGUCGGAUAAUCUGUUUAGCUGUCGAGCCAGCAGCCGUCUGAGGCUGGAUAAGUGCAGCGACGGAUGUGUGUGGGGUGAAAAUAGCAGGGGUUGGCUGGUGGAGAGCUGGAGGGGGAGAAAGAGGCAGAGACGGAGGGGUAGGAGUUGGAAGGGGGGCACAUAAUGGGAAAAAAAGGGAAGAAGAUGAAGCAGAGGGGAAAUGGGAGAAGCAGGCUGGCUGUUUACGCAUGCUAAAAAUGAUCAACGAGCCAAAAAAAAGUUGACCACAAGAAAGUGAGCGAUGUGACCCCUCACACGUCAACUCUGGUGGUCAUGACUCAGCCAGCCAAUGCAUAACUGCGGUGACCUUUGGUUCAGCAGAUCAAUGAGACCCUGCAACAUUGGAUUCCUUGGGUGUUGCAUCUACUGAUGUGCCUCCAGACCACAUGCAGCCCUGUUGUAACCCCCAUCUCACAGCAGCUCUGAAAAACACAAUUAGGCACCAAUCUGCUCCUACCAAGCCAGCUUUCAGUGAGUCCAGCAUGGCUACACGGAGUCCUGCAGACCCUCCUGGCUGGAGUUGUCAGGAUGGAGGUCAGAAAGAGAGAGACGAGUGAUGAAAAUGACCAUGUCUUCACUCUGCAGGAACUAGGAGGGGUUUUGUCUGACUGUUGACAUUUUAAUGUAAAGUUUAACGUAUUGAUGCAGUUUCUGAUAAUAAAUCUAACAUGGUUUUAUAAAAUGUA